UACGAAGGGUGCUAGCGUUGUUCGGAAUCACUGGGCGUAAAGCGUGCGUAGGCGGCUAUGCAAGUCAGGGGUGAAAUCCCGGAGCUUAACUCCGGAACUGCCUUUGAAACUGCAUGGCUAGAGUGUCGGAGGGGAUAGCGGAAUUCCUAAUGUAGUGGUGAAAUACGUAGAUAUUAGGAGGAACACCGGUGGCGAAGGCGGCUAUCUGGACGACAACUGACGCUGAGGCACGAAAGCGUGGGGAGCAAACAGG
rnacentral:rRNA from 1 species